rnacentral:misc_RNA from 1 species
UGAGUCGGCGCGUCGGCAAUCGGUAUGGGAACGAUAGAGACCGGUACGAUCGUCGUUUCUCAAUAAAGUAAGCGCGAAGCUUUACUUAUACUGUAGGCUUUAUUUUUUUAUUGGUAGAAUCGGUAUGUGAAUGAGAAAGGAGGAGAAAAAAAAAACGUUUUCUGAUAAACUGGAAAAUAACUGGUUAAACGCGCGUCGACAUAAUCGCGUUGCAAGUUGCAAUAUCUGCGGGUGAUUUUCUUCUGAAACCUCAAAUUCGCCUUCGCUUCGGCGAGAGUUUUACUCACCAAGAAGAGUUACGGCGCGUUACCUUCGUAUUGGCGGGCAUAAACAAUUAAACGAAUGUCAAUAUGUAUCUUUUUACAUGUAAUUGAUGUGUCCAUAUGGACGUUUUGGCGUCCGUCGCUCAUAUAUAUGCGCGUGCAGCGUCCGUUAUCGACGUCGUUAAAGAACUGGACUGAGAAACUAGGCGAGGAGGGAGGUACAUUUAUUGUCGCGCGAGAGCUCGACCAACGACAUUAAGGAUCGAAUGAUCGGGGCGCAUAGUCGCGAGGCGCGUUCCACUACGGGCCAUGCUGGCAAGACGGAAGUCUUUGUUAAUAUUGCUGUUGCUGACUCCGGUGUCGACUCGACUUGCGGAUAAUAAAAAGAGGAACAACGACAAGGGGUAUUCGAGGAAGUAGUAGUCGCAGUCGCCGAGAGAAAGUAAAGAGAAUAAAAAGAGGCGGCAGCGUUUUACGAGAUCGAUGAAAAGUGAUGAGGUUCCGAAGUGUGUCGUGUGGGAAUGACAAAACGCGAUAGUGCCCUCUCUUAAUUCUUUGCUCAAAGAUUAUCUGGAUUCCCGAAAAAGCAUCCAUCUCGCCGACUCUCUCGUUCUCGACGAUGUCGUACACGAAUCGUUUCCCCCCCACGCAAAACACGAGAUAUCGUAGCAGCUGGGGACCCUCCUCCGUAUCGGCCUUCGCUCGCGCAGAUGUUCCCAGACCCUCGCCCGAGGAGGAAGAGUUUGCCGAAUUUUACAACGAGCGUCUUCAUUCCGCCCAAAGUCGACAGCUCCUACCUCUUCAGGAGGAUCUUGCCGAUUGGAUCAACAAAACGAUAAACACGGACCACGUAACCGGCGAGAAUUUCUUUGACGCUCUCGAUAAUGGCGCCGUGGUUUGUAAAUUGGCUCGGGUAAUACAGGAAAAAGCAAGAACAGCCGUUGAUGCCGGAAGAGUCAAGGGGCCAACGCCCGUUAUACGAGGCAGAUGCUGGGAAAAUGCAGCUCGGCGAAGCUUCUUUUCGAGGGAUAAUAUGGAGAAUUUUAUACAAUUUUGUCGACGACUCGGAGUUCACGAGAAUCUUCUUUUUGAAAGCGACGAUCUUGUUUUGCACGGUCAGCCACGGAAUGUGGUCCUCUGCCUGUUGGAGGUGGCGAGACUCGCUUCGAGAUAUUCGCUCGAGCCACCGGGUAUAGUUCAACUCGAACGGGAGAUCGCAGCCGAGCAGGAAAGAGAUUUACACUGUCUAUCGGACAGCGGUAUUUCGCACAGCAGCCUCGUAUCAUGGCAGUUUCAGCCACCUUCGCCGACCCCAUCGCCCAGACCCCAACCAGACAAAAUAAAGCACAGCAGCUCGGCAUCGGAGGUGGCUACGGUGGCGAAUCGAUGGCUCGAUCCUCCGCCGACGGUCAAUCACGAACCGGAGAUGCGUCGAUCCGCCAGCGACAACGGUCCGACCGGAAGUGACGGUGUGCCUAGCGAUACGACCGAGGACGAUUGGUCCCGUGGAAGUGCCGAAGAUCCCGAUGACGUGCCAUCACCCUCAAUUUCACCCUCGCCGGCGGAGCCACCCGAGCAUACCGGACCAAUCACCGAACUUGAUCGAAAGGUUAGAAAAGCUGCCGAGGCUGUACAAAGGCUCUGCCAGUGCCCUUCGGAAAAAUGCUCCAAGCUCAAAGUUCGUAAAGUCGGGGAAGGACGUUAUUACAUCGCUGGACGAAAUGUUUUCAUCAGGCUCCUCAAAGGACGGCACAUGAUGGUGAGAGUCGGCGGAGGCUGGGACACCCUUGAGCAUUUCUUGUCGAGGCACGAUCCGUGUCAGGUGAGGGUUCUCACCCGCGAAACUACACCCCCACCCCGCAACAACAAGCACAGCUUUCUUCACAUCCGGGCAAAGUAUCGGAGCCAUCCGUCCGAAUCUCUUUCCGGCCACUGAAAUUACUCACUCUUUGCACCUUCUCUCUCUCUCUCUCUCUCUCUCUCUCUCUCUCUCUCUCAAAUCCUUUGGCCAAUCAACUCUUUCACUCUUUCAUGCAUUCCUCUAUCGGUAUGGCCGUUUAUUUAACAAACGAAUUUUACGGACGAUUUUUGGAAAACGAGAGUAUUUCCACAUAAGAGUUUUCAUAGAGUUCCAUCACGUGCGAUGGGUCUCCAUCGUUCCGGACGCAUGUUCACGUUCAAAUCAUCAUAGUCUAUUUCACGCAGUCUGCCUAAUAGAUAUUUCAAAUACAUAUAACAUAUGUAUUUCGAGACAUUAGUAUUUUGAUAACUCGCAUAUACCGCUUGUACCAUGAAACGACAAAUCGUUUUUUAUCAGUCGUACGGGAUAAGCGCGGCUCAAGUUUGUCAAAGCGCUCGUGAAGCAUCUAGCGCCAGAUAUAAUCGAUUAAGGUGAUCUAUCACUUGCGCGAGUCCGAGAGUAAAUGUAAAAUGGUUGCACGGUUUACUCGGACGUCCAUGAUUUUUGAGAAAAAUAAAAGUUACACCUUGUUCUCUGAUGAUAAUAAAUAUUUUUUUUCAAAUAUCAAGCGUGCAAUGGAAUAAAGCGUGCAACAGGAUUUUUACCGACUGAACAACUGAUAGAUCAUCUUGAAGAUCUUGAACGACGUGAUCAGCGAUCGAUAUAUACAUAUGUGAUAAAUACUUGAAUCACGAUAUCACACUCGCACGAGAGAUAUAUACUUGCUACGAAUAUCGUACAAUCACUAUUUUUGCAUACCAACGAGAUCCAACGGUUAAAAGUAACGGAUACGCGUCAUCGAACCGUUUCGACGUGUCUCAACAAUAACAAAUGUAAAGAAUUUAUGCACCUAAUAGAAGAAGCACGUUCGAUACAGUCGUUCCCGCCGUGGUUUUAGUAAUCGAAAAAUGAGAAAGAUGAGGAACAGCAACAAUUAUGCAAACACAAUCACGCAAAAAUUCACUUGUGCACACAUUUAUCGACAGCAAGUAAUUGAGUGACGAGUAUAUAACGCAAUGGCCACGAUCAAGAUCGAAAACACACCGAGUGCAAAUAAACUCUCAGGAAGACAAGAAAGAAGGAAGAAAGAUUAAUCGAUAAACUCGACUCAUAUGCCGAUUGACGGGAUAUUUUUGAAACGUUAACACUCAAUUUAGGCACACCUAAGAGAGAGAGAAAAAAAAACAAUAAUAUUCUAUUGAUAGCGGGUAACAAAGUGCAACGAUCGAGCGCAUUUAUGGCCAUUGCGAAUUUCCGUCGGUUGCACCUCAUGAUCCAAUUGGUUUUUAUACAUAUUUAUUCUGUAAACAUUUGUGGGACGAGUGAGGAUUAGCAUUUUUUGGUUAAAAAAAUCACGAUGAGAAGAUCUCGUCGAGAAGAAUAGGUUGGCUAAAAGUAAUUCGGAAAAGGGUAACAUUGAGGGCCCGAACGCAACUCCCCAAUGAACGUUGGUUGAUUGCGUGAACCUGCCAAAGUGUACACCGGACAGACCAAAGGUGUCUGUUCGAUGUACACAUAUUACCAACGAUCUGAGCGAAAUAGUGAGGUUUUUUCGUCGGUCGAGCAAAUCCUUGUUACUCAAUAUAUUCACCGUAUUUAACGCGGUACAAUGAAUUAUUGAAAAAAUUCUUGUAUUAUCGUUGCACGCCGUACGGUUUACGAUAAAAACUCACGUCACCGGGAAUUGUAAUGUCAGCGGGAAUUUGAAUUCGGUUUUGUCCAAUCGAGGGGACAAUAUUCCAUUAUAUAGAUGGAAAAAUGAAGGACGCGUAUUUCACCAAAAAUACGAGCCCAUCUAAUCCUUUCGAUAUGAGAUGGUACUCCAUCCCCCCCCCCCCCCCCAAUGCCAGUUGUAUGCUUCACAUCGUAGGCGUCCUAUCGUCACGUAUAUACAUAUAUAUUUAUAUUUAUAUAUACACUCACACACACACGUAACUGCCUGUAAUUUUACCUUUUGUAUUUUUAUACAAAUCCUUAGGGUUAAGGUGAGACGACGAGGGAAAUGCAAGAGUACACUCUGCAAAGGAAGAAUACCAAAGCUACGGAACACGAGACGAGUUUUUUCGGCGCGUUGAGGCUAUUUACCUGAUUUUUUAUUUCAUUUUUUUUUUUUUAGUCUAUCCCGAUAAUGCGAAAUUGAAGGAGAAAAAUUGCAAACUUUUCGUUAACAAAAGUAAAAAAGUUGAGACGAUCGAGUGCUAUAGCAGCUGCGAGAAAAAACUGCAUCACGAUCGAUCGAAUCAAUUGGUCGCUAUAAAUAUAUUUUAAAUGGAAAACAAAGAAAAAGAAAUCGAGGAUAUGAAAUAAACUUGAGUUGAUCAUUUUUGGAUUUACAAAAGAAAGACAAAAAAACGGAUCGUCAGGUUUGUGAGUACCUGGUAUUUUUCGGGUCGUUCUGAAAUACGUAUCGAGUUGAUGAAAAUUUUUCUCGCGGGAGAAUAGUCGAACACGAUGAUAUUAGUUAUUAAUACACCACACACGAACUUAUGUGCAUUGAGAUUUAUUUUACAAUUGUAUUGUAAUCCGAUUGUUACCUUUUGUUGAGUAAUAAAAUGUUUAAUUGCAAAGUU